AUUGAACGCUGGCGGCAGGCCUAACACAUGCAAGUCGAGCGGAUGAAGGGAGCUUGCUCCUGGAUUCAGCGGCGGACGGGUGCGUAAUGCCUAGGAAUCUGCCUGGCAGUGGGGGCUAACGUCCGGAAACGGGCGCUAAUACCGCAUACGUCCUGUGGGAGAAAGUGGGGGAUCUUCGGACCUCACGCUAUCAGAUGAGCCUAGGUCGGAUUAGCUAGUUGGUGGGGUAAAGGCCUACCAAGGCGACGAUCCGUAACUGGUCUGAGAGGAUGAUCAGUCACACUAGAACGGAGACAAGGUCCAGACUCCUACGGGAGGCAGCAGUGGGGAAUAUUGGACAAUGGGCGAAAGCCUGAUCCAGCCAUGCCGCGUGUGUGAAGAAGGUCUUCGGAUUGUAAAGCACUUUAAGUUGGGAGGAAGGGCAGUAAGUUAAUACCUUGCUGUUUUGACGGUACCAACAGAAUAAGCACCGGCUAACUUCGUG
rnacentral:rRNA from 1 species